CACUUUACCUCAGCCACAACGCAGACUCUAUGCAUUACAUAAUGGAGAUCACAGGAUGGUUGCACUGCCACGUCUACAGUAGCGCAGAAUGGACAGAGGAAACAUGAUUGGGCCUCAAGUUUUUUGCAGCCAAUAUUCAUUCUCCUACAAACUUGGGAUAGGAGGGUGAG